AUGUCUACUACUCGCUUCAAACGCUGCACUCAGUGUGCCGCUAAAAUUCCUGACUCCGACGGCCACGCCAAGUGCCUCUUCUGUCUGGGAGAGGCCCAUGUCGUCGGUACCUGCCGUUUUUGCCUAGCCCUAACGGCUCAAGCAAGAAAAAAUAGGGCCGCGAGACUUAGAGCAGCGCUCUACGAGAAGUCACUCGCCCCUGAGCCCACUCCGUCGACGUCGGGCGCGUCGUCGACGCCGAGUCUGAGACCGAUGUCGGCACCGGCUGUUAAGGCCUCUUCGGUUUCGUCGAGGGUGUCUAGGGCCUCCAAAUCAGCUAAGCCCGUCAAACCGCCGUGCACGCUCACCACGGUCACCAUGUCGUCUCGUUCCGGCAGACUUGGUCCCUCCUCGACGUCGAGCUCGGUGGCCUCCGUGUCUUCAAUUCGAUCCCACCUUGGGUCUCCUCCAUCAACCUCCGCGAUGAAAAUCGCCUUUAAGAGAGCCCACGAGGAAGCUCAUCGGACCCAGUCUGAUUCGGCAAUGGUCCCUCCGACGCCGGGGAAAUCUCUGAGGGCUCCUUCUAAACAGCCGCUUGCUGAGAAGAGAGCGACCCAACGCUCCUCUUCCUCUGCCUCUUCUAAAAAGGACAUCCCUUCUUCUUCGGCGACUUCUUCUAGGAGAUCCUCUCCGAUCGCUCCUGCACAGCGGCCUCGUCAACCCUCCCCUCGGGUUCUGUCUGAUGGCGAACUUCAGGACUCACCCCACCACUCCACCCAAACAGUGGUCAGGGUGCCGUCGCCUCGACCUGCUGCCGUGCAUCGUCCGUCACGCCAGCAGCUUUUUCCCCCGACCUCGACACCGGAACGGGGUAGACAAACCACCCGCCUGGCUCGAGCUGCCCAAGCUUCGGCCUCCAAAGAAACUCGGCCUCAGAUGGCUCCUGCUCUUGAGGCUUUGCCUCCUCCAGAGACUGUGCUUUCAUCUCCCCCUCAGUCCCCCCAAGUGGCUGAGGACGAUGAGAUCGAUAUCGACCGUCCUGACUCUGCGCUCUCAGCCUCGGUGGUGUCUCUCAGCCUCGACCUCUCUCCUCCUCACGAUGCGUACGAGGUGGAUCCUCCCUCACCCAUGGACAAUAUUCGGGCCUUUUCGGACCAGAUGGUGAGAAUGGCCGAUGCUCUAGGUCUAGAGAUCAAACAAACUUCUAAGGCGGUGUCUGAUCCGGUUUUCAAGCGGGUCCAAGCCCAAGCCCCCCCGGCCACACUGCUUCCGUUCUUACCUUACCUUCUGGACGUCAUCCAGGCAUCGUGGAAAACUCCUUCCUCGAUCCCUCCUACCUCAAAACGGAUCGAAUCCUGGUACCGCACCGAUGACGAUGCCUUAGAGUGGCUAAAACACCAUCCCGACCCAAAUUCUAUGGUCGUUAAGGCUUCACAGACUUCCGGUCGUGAGUCAAAUACUUCUGCGGAUAGAGAGGGUAAAAGGUUUGACGCGGUGGGCCGAAAGCUCUAUUCUGGGGCCCUUCUACUUUGCAGAAUGGCGAACUAUGGGGCCUGUAUGGGUGCAUAUCAGCAAAUCCUUUGGGAGAAAGCUCAGCCCUUCUUCUCAAAGUUGUCUGACAAGGACCGUUCGGUGCUGCCUACACUUCAGCAGGAGGCUGACUCCCUAGCCCACCAUCAAAUUCAGAUGGCGAAACUUACAGGAGACACUGCCGGUAAGAUGAUUGCCCAUGCCAUUGCCAUCCGCCGUCACGCCUGGCUGAGGUCGUCGGGCCUGUCUUCUUCUUCUAGACAAGUUAUUGAAGACCUUCCGUUCGACGCCUUGGGUCUUUUUAAUUCCGGCACCGACGAUAAACUCAAGACUAACCAUGACUUUAAAGUCCUAGCUACCAAAUGUGGAGACCAGCCUCAAACUCACCGUACCAAAUGGUUUCCUCAACGCUUUCGCCAUUUUCCGCCUCCUUCUUACCGUCACCAGUCCUUCAGGCGUCCCUCGGUUUCGAAUAACCAGAACCGCCAACAACCUCGUCGGCCUACUCAUCCUCAGAAGCAGCGCGGCCGUACUACUCCCACUUCCAGCCAGCCUCAGCGGCGCUCCUGA
rnacentral:lncRNA from 1 species